GAUGAAGAACGUAGCGAAAUGCGAUAAGUAAUGUGAAUUGCAGAAUUCAGUGAAUCAUCGAAUCUUUGAACGCACCUUGCACCCUUUGGCAUUCCGAAGGGUAUGCUCGUUUGAGUGUCAUUGUACUCUCACACUCUCCGAUCCUAUGGAUUCGGGGAGCGGUGGACUUGGGUGUUGUUGCCUUUCCCUGUGGCUCACCUCAAAUGCGUCAGUGCACCUCUUGGUUGGACAUAGUACGGCGUGAUAAGUGUCUUCGCCGGCACCUCGCAAGAGGGUGGCCGAUCGGGAGCUCUGCGCUUUCAAACCGUCUUCGGACAAUUUCUGACAUCUUGACCUCAAAUCGAGUAGGACUACCCGCUGAACUUAAGCAUAUCAAUAAGCGGAGGA
rnacentral:misc_RNA from 1 species